rnacentral:rRNA from 1 species
UACGUAGGGCGCAGGCGUUGUCCGGAAUUAUUGGGCGUAAAGAGCUCGUAGGCGGCUUGUCACGUCGGAUGUGAAAGCCCGGGGCUUAACUCCGGGUCUGCAUUCGAUACGGGCUAGCUAGAGUGUGGUAGGGGAGAUCGGAAUUCCUGGUGUAGCGGUGAAAUGCGCAGAUAUCAGGAGGAACACCGAUGGCGAAGGCAGGUCUCUGGGCCGAUACUGACGCUGAGGAGCGAAAGCGUGGGGAGCGAACAGG